GCCAAAUUGGCUUAGUAGUUAAAGCGUCCGCCUUGUAAGCGGAAGAUCGUGAGUGCGAACCUCACAUUUGGCU
rfam:Pseudocohnilembus persalinus scaffold1345, whole genome shotgun sequence.